UUACGGCCGUAUCAAAUUGAAACACCGACUCUCGUACGAUCACCGAAGGUAAGCAACAUCGAGCUUGGUCAGUACCAAGUUGGGUGACUACUUGGAAAUACCAGGUGCUGUAAG